rnacentral:rRNA from 1 species
UGCGAGUCGAGAGUCCUCGGGACUCGGCAUACUGCUCAGUAACACGUGGAUAACCUGCCCUGUUCUAGGGGAUAACCUCGAGAAAUUGAGAAUAAUACCCUAUAGUCCACUACGCCUGGAACGGUGAGUGGAUAAAAGCUCCGGCGGAACAGGAUGGGUCUGCGGCAUAUCAGGUAGUAGUGGGUGUAAUGGACCCACUAGCCUUCGACGUGUACGGGUGUUGGGAGACAUAGCCCGGAGAUGGAUUCUGAGACACGAAUCCAGACCCUACGGGGUGCAGCAGGCGCGAAAACUUCACACUGCGGGAAACCGCGAUGAGGGAAUUCCAAGUGUCUGGGGUAAGACCCAGUCUUUUCUUGACUCUUAAUAGGUCUUGGAAUAAGGGGGGGGUAAGACCGGUGCCAGCCGCCGCGGUAAUACCGGCCCCCCAAGUGGUCGUCACUUUUAUUGGGCCUAAAACGUCCGUAGCCGGUUUAGUAAACCCGUGGGUAAAUCAACCAGCUUAACUGGUUGAAUUCUGCGGAGACUGCUAGACUAGGGACCGGGAGAGGUACGAGGUACUCCUGGGGUAGGGGUAAAAUUCCUGUCAUCCCAGGGGGACCACUUGUUGCCGAGGCGUCGUACUAGAACGGAUCCGACGGUCAGGGACGAAGCCUAGGGGCACGAACCGGAUUAGAUACCCGGGUAGUCCUAGUGCAAACGCUGUGGACUUGGUGUUGGGGAUUCCAUGAGGGUUUCCAGUGCCGAAGCGAAGUGUUAAGUCCACUGCCUGGGGAGUACGGUCGCAAGGCUGAAACUUAAAGGAAUUGGCGGGGG